AGAUUAUGUGCUGAAGUCUGCAGAGCUGGCAAAAGCUGGAGGGUGCAAACAUUUCAACUUGCUAUCCUCUAAAGGAGCUGAUAAAUCAAGCAAUUUUUUAUAUCUACAAGGAGAAGUAGAAGCCAAGGUUGAAGAAUUAAAAUUUGAUCGUUACUCUGUAUUUAGGCCUGGAGUUCUGUUAUGUGAUAGGCAAGAAUCUCGCCCAGGUGAAUGGCUGGUUAGAAAGUUCUUUGGCUCCUUACCAGACUCUUGGGCCAGUGGGCAUUCUGUGCCUGUGGUGACCGUGGUUAGAGCAAUGCUGAACAAUGUGGUGAGACCAAGAGACAAGCAGAUGGAACUGCUGGAGAACAAGGCCAUCCAUGACCUGGGGAAAGCGCAUGGCUCUCUCAAGCCAUGACCACAUUGGAGAAAUGGUUUUUAUUGUCAACCUUAACACCCAUCACCAAAUCGGUAAUUUCAGGGUCUAAAAAAAGUCAGCAUGUUUUAACUUUGUUGUUUUACUAUCCUCAGGCAUCCAUUCCAAUCAAGAAAUGAUGGUGCUCUGCAUCAGUGGUUCAGAGCCUGGUUAUACAUAUAGAUCACUCAGGGAGCUUUGGAAAAAUAAAGAUUUGUCAGCCCUAUCUCAAACUUGAAUCAAAAUUUCUGGGGUGUGGGCACAAUAAUCUGUAAUUUUCUUUGUUUAUACUUCCCCUGAUGCCACUGGUUCCGAUGCCACUGGCUGGGGGGCCUGCUUUGAAAUGCUUGUCUGCAGAGUCACAGCAGCCAUGAAAACCUUAUGACCGUGCAAAUGAGCUCUGCUCUAAAAUUGUUGACAUUCAUGUCUCUGAGUUACAAAAGUGCUAAUUCACUACAUGUAAUUGUGUAAGUAAACAUUGUGCCUUUACUACUUCUUUAUGUAAUAGAAGUUAUAUACCUAAGCUUAUAUAAUACAUGGGGAGGAUUAAAUAAAGGAAUAAAGAUGAAUG
rnacentral:lncRNA from 1 species